rnacentral:lncRNA from 1 species
UUUUGUUGAUCUAUAGUUGUAAAAGUUGAAAACAAUUCAUGUAUUUUGAAGAAUGAUUAUGAUGUAAAAAAGGAUUUUAUGAAUGAAAGCAAAUGGAUGUAAUAGUUUUAGUUUACUAGUAUUUGGUUUGAAUGUAAUCAAAUAUUAUGUAUGGUUGUAUGUUUUAGCUUAGAGCUUUCGCUUCCGUUGUUGCUUGCCCUCGUGCAAGCCUUGUAUAAUUGCAAAUCUCUUUGUUUGAUUGCUUAAUUAUACUUGUUGUUGGGGCCUUGCGCGGGCAGGGGAGGCCCUGUCCGUUUGGCGUCUGUUGACGUUGCCCGAACCCGACCAAAUUGGCGGGAAGCGGGGCGUGACAUGCUACUUCUCGGUCAGCCCAUUUGUACCGGUACACCCCUGGUGUUAAACCGGUAACACAUGCUCCAGAAUUUCAUUUUCACGCCGUUUCGACUCUAUUUCACAUCGAACAACGCUAAAACCCUUCCAACUCUUUUAAACUCAUCUUUAACCCUUCUAACACUGUUGAAAUGCCAAAAGGAACUUGUUCAACCAUUUCUCUCGACAACUUUAACCAAUUUGGGUAAAGUUCGAUAAUCGCUCUCGAGGUUUCAAUAUGUUACAUCGGCGGCCGAACCCACUGGGAACUUUGUUGUAGUUCUCACCCCACUAUUUUCACAGAGCUGGGACCGAUUGAGCCGGCCGACGAUCGCGGUAAAGGUAUCGCGCCAUAGACAGUGACCACCCGAGUUGGUUUCAUAUUUUGGUUUAGUUGCAUACCCUUUAUAUCAUCUUUUGUAUUUUGAUGAUUAUAGAUGUAUUAAAGAUGUUUUAAAUGAUGUUAAAUGAAAAGGGUUAUUUUGGAGAUCAUAUGAUGUAUUGAGAGAAGAAAUGAUGAAAAGAAUAUAAAUGUAACUUGUGGUUGAAUGCAUGUAAGUGAUUAAAAGAUAAUCAUUGUACUUGUAUGGAUGUUUAA